GGUUAAGCGAACAAGCGUACACGGUGGAUGCCCUGGCAGUCAGAGGCGAUGAAGGACGUGCUAAUCUGCGAAAAGCGCCGGUAAGGUGAUAUGAACCGUUAUAACCGGCGAUGUCCGAAUGGGGAAACCCGGUGCACUUCGGUGCAUCAUCGUUAGCUGAAUACAUAGGCUAACGAGGCGAACCGGGGGAACUGAAACAUCUAAGUACCCCGAGGAAAAGAAAUCAACCGAGAUUCCCCCAGUAGCGGCGAGCGAACGGGGAACAGCCCAGAGCCUGAAUCAGCUUGUGUGUCAGUGGAACGGUCUGGAAAGGCCGGCGAUACAGGGUGACAGCCCCGUACACGAAGGCACACAGGCUGUGAGCUCGAUGAGUAGGGCGGGACACGUGAUAUCCUGUCUGAAGAUGGGGGGACCAUCCUCCAAGGCUAAAUACUCCUGACUGACCGAUAGUGAACCAGUACCGUGAGGGAAAGGCGAAAAGAACCCCGGCGAGGGGAGUGAAACAGAACCUGAAACCGUGUACGUACAAGCAGUGGGAGCCUUCGUAAGAGGGUGACUGCGUACCUUUUGUAUAAUGGGUCAGCGACUUAUAUUCUGUAGCAAGGUUAACCGUAUAGGGGAGCCGAAGGGAAACCGAGUCUUAACCGGGCGUUAAGUUGCAGGGUAUAGACCCGAAACCCGGUGAUCUAGCCAUGGGCAGGUUGAAGGUUGGGUAACACUAACUGGAGGACCGAACCGACUAAUGUUGAAAAAUU
rnacentral:rRNA from 1 species